rnacentral:rRNA from 1 species
AUUGAACGCUGGCGGCAUGCCUUACACAUGCAAGUCGAACGGUAACAGGUCUUCGGAUGCUGACGAGUGGCGAACGGGUGAGUAAUACAUCGGAACGUGCCUAGUAGUGGGGGAUAACUACUCGAAAGAGUGGCUAAUACCGCAUGAGAUCUACGGAUGAAAGCAGGGGAUCGCAAGACCUUGUGCUACUAGAGCGGCCGAUGGCAGAUUAGGUAGUUGGUGGGAUAAAAGCUUACCAAGCCGACGAUCUGUAGCUGGUCUGAGAGGACGAUCAGCCACACUGGGACUGAGACACGGCCCAGACUCCUACGGGAGGCAGCAGUGGGGAAUUUUGGACAAUGGGCGAAAGCCUGAUCCAGCAAUGCCGCGUGCAGGAUGAAGGCCUUCGGGUUGUAAACUGCUUUUGUACGGAACGAAAAGCUUCGGGCUAAUACCCUGGAGUCAUGACGGUACCGUAAGAAUAAGCACCGGCUAACUACGUGCCAGCAGCCGCGGUAAGAC